UGAUUUUUUUUUCUUUUUUUUUUCUUUCUUUCUUCUUCUCCGUUGACGAUUGCUUUUGUGAAGGGAGCAACGCUCCUGUCUACAGCGAGGUUCAGUCGAGCCGGAUCAACAACGCCCUUCCUUUGCCUUCUGUACUCAAAGGAGCCUUCAAAAUCGUCGAAGGUCCCGCGAGCUCCGCCACCGGACACCCAGAUGAGAUUGCGAAGUUGUUUCUUGGUCUAUAUGGACAACUGUCUGUAUCAGUUGUUCCAGAUCAGAGUGAUGCUGCUUCGGAAGAGAAGCUAAAGAUCGGUGUUGUUUUGUCUGGUGGUCAGGCGCCUGGUGGACACAAUGUGAUCUCUGGAUUGUUCGAUUACUUGCAGGAGCGUGCUAAAGGAAGCACCUUUUACGGGUUCAGUGGUUAACUCUUUUUUUGAAUUGGAUUUGCCAGGAUCACCCAAAGCUCUUGAUGAGGAUGAGACUGAAUUGCUUGAUAAACUUGAAAUGGCAGCAGUUGCAGCAUAAUCAACAAUCCCUCAAGAGCCAAAAGAAGCUACACCUCCUCCACCAAAGUGAGCAUCACGUGUUUCAAACUAGAUCUUUUUGAUAUGAUUACAGAACUAUUCAAACUAAGCAUUCGAAACCACAUUCAAAGUUGCUACUGGCAAGAUGAAUACUUUAACUCCCUUGAACUCACCAUCUGAUACUUGUCUCCCUCUCUUUAAUCACUAUUCACUCUCUUUUUUUUAAAAAACCCUUAAGUUAAGAAACUAUGAAUGGAAGAGAAAAAACUAGUUGUUUCUUAACUAAAUUCUUAACACACAUUUAAUACUAAAAAAGUCAUUAA